UUAUCUGAACCUUCGGGGAACGAUAACGGCGUCGAGCGGCGGACGGGUGAGUAAUGCCUAGGAAAUUGCCCUGAUGUGGGGGAUAACCAUUGGAAACGAUGGCUAAUACCGCAUAAUGCCUACGGGCCAAAGAGGGGGACCUUCGGGCCUCUCGCGUCAGGAUAUGCCUAGGUGGGAUUAGCUAGUUGGUGAGGUAAGGGCUCACCAAGGCGACGAUCCCUAGCUGGUCUGAGAGGAUGAUCAGCCACACUGGAACUGAGACACGGUCCAGACUCCUACGGGAGGCAGCAGUGGGGAAUAUUGCACAAUGGGCGCAAGCCUGAUGCAGCCAUGCCGCGUGUGUGAAGAAGGCCUUCGGGUUGUAAAGCACUUUCAGUCGUGAGGAAGGUAGUGUAGUUAAUAGCUGCAUUAUUUGACGUUAGCGACAGAAGAAGCACCGGCUAACUCCGUGCCAGCAGCCGCGGUAAUACGGAGGGUGCGAGCGUUAAUCGGAAUUACUGGGCGUAAAGCGCAUGCAGGUGGUUUGUUAAGUCAGAUGUGAAAGCCCGGGGCUCAACCUCGGAAUUGCAUUUGAAACUGGCAGACUAGAGUACUGUAGAGGGGGGUAGAAUUUCAGGUGUAGCGGUGAAAUGCGUAGAGAUCUGAAGGAAUACCGGUGGCGAAGGCGGCCCCCUGGACAGAUACUGACACUCAGAUG
rnacentral:rRNA from 1 species